rnacentral:rRNA from 1 species
UACGUAGGGCGCAAGCGUUGUCCGGAAUUAUUGGGCGUAAAGAGCUCGUAGGCGGUUUGUCGCGUCUGCUGUGAAAACCUAAGGCUCAACCUUGGGCUUGCAGUGGGUACGGGCAGACUAGAGUGCGGUAGGGGUGACUGGAAUUCCUGGUGUAGCGGUGGAAUGCGCAGAUAUCAGGAGGAACACCGAUGGCGAAGGCAGCUCGCUGGGACGGUACUGACGCUGAGGCGCGAAAGCGUGGGGAGCGAACAGG